UGACAUAUCCUACUUGGUUUAGUUAUGAUAACUCAGUCAGCAAUUCAUUUACUUAUGCACUCAUUUAUUCACCUAAUGUCUAUUGAUUAUUUAGAAUGCACCAGGCACUUGAUCCAGCUGUCCAGAAUACAAGAUAUACUCCUGAAGUCUGACUUUCAUUCAUUAACAACCACAUGGAUGAAGAAAGCAUAAAAAAAGAAACCAUUAAAAGAUAGCUGGAUUAUAACCUAGCUCCCAUUUGCACAGAGAGCUGUGGAAGUCAGCAGGAAGUGGAGGAUCACAUCUCACCCUGCAAGUGCGAGCUAUGCAGAGUGCUGUUCUGCUGAGGAAUGCGUAUGGAAAGGUGAGGAAAGCAACCACACAGCGGAUAAAGUUGAGAAACACUACCUCAGCCCUGUGGCCAAGGUCAGCAUCAACAGCGACACAUUAUGUUGGUGGUAUAUACUCACAUGAUGUGGUCAUGUGAUGUGGUGAUGAGAAGAGCAUUUCCUCCUCAAAGCCCAUAACCCCAUUCUAAUAAUGAGAAAACUAUCAGCAAACCCCAAAUUGAGGCACAGAGUGCAAAGUGCCUGGCCGGUACUCCUCAGAACUGUCAAGGUCACCAAAAACAUGGACAGACCCAGCAACUGCCACAGCCCAGAGGAGCCUAAGACGAGAUGAAUAAAUGUCAUAUAGUCUCCUGAAUACCAUCCAUGAGCAGAAAAAGGACAUUGGGUGAAAACCAAGGACAUCUGAAUAAGUCCUUUACAGGUCUCAUCAACUUUAAUGAAAAUAAAGAACAUCAAUAACCAAGAUAAGCAGGAAGCCAUUCGAUAACACAAGAGAAUGCAAGAAGUCUCUCUUCUAAUUCAGAGA
rnacentral:lncRNA from 1 species